AUCUAUGGCUAUACCGCAAUGAACAUAUCCAAUAUAGACUGAUGUCUGAUCUCUAAAGCUAAUCCCGGUGUCAUCUGAUUAGUACUUGAAUGGGAGACUGCUUGGGAAUAAUAGGUAUAGUAGGCU
ensembl:rRNA 5S_rRNA 5S ribosomal RNA